CGUGCAGGAAGACUGCCCUAUGGGUUGUAAACUGCUUUUAUAUAGGAAGAAACACUGAUACGUGUACCUGUUUGACGGUACUGUACGAAUAAGGACCGGCUAACUCCGUGCCAGCAGCCGCGGU
rnacentral:rRNA from 1 species